CCUACGGGAGGCAGCAGUGAGGAAUAUUGGUCAAUGGCCGGAAGGCUGAACCAGCCAUGCCGCGUGAAGGUCAGUGCCCUAUGGGCGUUAAACUUCUUUUGUGCGGGAGCAAUAAUGGUGACGUGUGGCCAGACGAGAGUACCGGACGAAUACGCAUCGGCUAACUCCGUGACAGCAGCCGAGGUAAUACGGGAGAUGCAAGCGUUAUCCGGAUUUGUUGGGGUUAAAGGGUGCGUAGGCUGUGAGGUAAGGCAGCGGUGAAAUGCCCCCGCUCAACGGGGUGAAGUGCAAUUGAUACUGGCUUGCUGGAGUGCGGAUGCGGUGGGAGGAAUGUGUGGUGUAGCGGUGAAAUGCAUAGAUAUCA
rnacentral:rRNA from 1 species